rnacentral:rRNA from 1 species
AACGAACGCUGGCGGCAUGCCUAACACAUGCAAGUCGAACGAUGCCUUCGGGCAUAGUGGCGCACGGGUGCGUAACGCGUGGGAAUCUGCCUUUCGGUUCGGAAUAACUCAGGGAAACUUGCGCUAAUACCGGAUCACGUCGCAAGCCCAAAGAUUUAUCACCGCAAGAUGAGCCCGCGUAGGAUUAGCUAGUUGGUGAGGUAAAGGCUCACCAAGGCGACGAUCCUUAGCUGGUCUGAGAGGAUGAUCAGCCACACUGGGACUGAGACACGGCCCAGACUCCUACGGGAGGCAGCAGUGGGGAAUAUUGGACAAUGGGCGAAAGCCUGAUCCAGCAAUGCCGCGUGAGUGAUGAAGGCCUUAGGGUUGUAAAGCUCUUUUACCCGGGAAGAUAAUGACGGUACCGGGAGAAUAAGCCCCGGCUAACUCCGUG